GGUGGGUUUGGCUUCAUGAAAACGGGGCGAAACGGCCCCUAAGCAUUCUAAACUCUUUGUAUACUGUUUUUGAAUGCAUAUUUAUGCUAAGUAGUAUUUAUGUGAAUUUUGGAACCCCUGAAAUACAUGUGUUAUGUAUAAGAGAAUUUUCACUCUAUAUGGUAGAGCGUUCUGGGUAUUGUUGCAUGCAUUCGGGUAGAGCUCUUGCUAGUCAUUUGGAAACGCGCUUUAUAUGCUUAGAAUGGUUCAGUUAUGUAAUUAUGAACAUUUGGGAUGAUCUUGAACUUAGUGAAUGAAAGUGUCAUAAAGGGGCACUUAGACUAGCACUUAUGAGACUAUCGUAUUGAGACAUAGAAUUAGGCCACUUGAACAUCUAUUAUUUUCCAUGUUGUAGACAUGAUGACAUAGAGAUAGGCCUAUGUGAGAGUUGU
rnacentral:lncRNA from 1 species